rnacentral:tmRNA from 1 species
GGGGCCGAUUUGGAUUCGACGACGGUUACAAAACUUGAGGGGCAUGCCGAGUUGGUAGCAGAUCUCGUAAAUUCGCUGCUGCACAUUUAUAGUUGCCAACGACGACAACUACGCACUAGCCGCUUAAGCCGGCUAGCGGUCACCAGGGGAUGCCUGUAAACCCGAAGUUGACCGACAGAUAGAACAGGAUCGCCGCCAAGUUUGCUGUAGACGUAACGGCUAAAACUUAUAC